rnacentral:lncRNA from 1 species
UUUUUGUUGUUGUUGUUGAGGUUUUCCAAAAAAUUUCUGCUAGAGAGAAUUUUAUUUAAAUACAUGAAAUUUGAAAUUUAUUCAUCAUGUUAUGUGAGAUUAACCCCUUCAACAAAACUCAGCCCCAAUUCCAGUAAAAAAAAAAAAAAAAAAAAACUCAACCCUGGUUGGUCUAAUUUGCAUUGACAUCAUGUAGGUUCCAUUUUAUCUACUCUAUUAUUUUAAUUUCAUCAUUUCUGCAAAUUGAAUGUUUAACAAUAAUAUUCCAUAAAUUAUCAAGAAUUUACCAGUUCGUCCGCAAAAUGAGCUGAUUCAUUCGAAUUGGAAUGCACCAAUUUCCCUUUUUAUUAUGCUGAAAAUAGUCAUACUACAACUACAAGAUAUCCUCAGUUAAUGUUUGUUAUAAAAUAUUGUCCUUCCCUCAAAAAUAAAAUACUGUCCUGUCAUUGAUGUGAAUCAUGUGAUUUCCAGUUCAUUUUUUAUUUCAAUUAGGCAACAGACUUGUAUUAGUUGUAUAAUUAAUGAAAUUAUUGAAGAUAAUAAAACCAGAAAAUUGACU